rnacentral:rRNA from 1 species
CUGGAGUCUGCAACCCGACUCCACGAAGCUGGAUUCGCUAGUAAUCGCGCAUCAGCCACGGCGCGGUGAAUACGUUCCCGGGCCUUGUACACACCGCCCGUCAAGCCAUGGGAGCCGGGGUACCUGAAGUGCGUAACCGCGAGGAUCGCCCUAGGGUAAAACUGGUGACUGGGGCUAAGUCGUAACAAGGUAAC